GACGAACGCUGGCGGCGUGCUUAACACAUGCAAGUCGAACGGAAAGGCCCUGCUUUUGUGGGGUGCUCGAGUGGCGAACGGGUGAGUAACACGUGUGUAACCUGCCCUUGACUUUGUGAGAACUUCAGGAAACUGGGGCUAAUACCGGAUAGGAGCUCCUGCUGCAUGGUGGGGGUUGGAAAGGUUCGGCGGUUGGGGAUGGACUCGCGGGUUAUCAGCUUGUUGGUGGGGUAGUGGCUUACCAAGGCUUUGACGGGUAGCCGGCCUGAGAGGGUGACCGGCCACAUUGGGACUGAGAUACGGCCCAGACUCCUACGGGAGGCAGCAGUGGGGAAUAUUGCACAAUGGGCGGAAGCCUGAUGCAGCAACGCCGCGUGCGGGAUGACGGCCUUCGGGUUGUAAACCGCUUUCGCCUGUGACGAAGCGUGAGUGACGGUAAUGGGUAAAGAAGCACCGGCUAACUACGUG
rnacentral:rRNA from 1 species